UACGAAGGGGGCUAGCGUUGCUCGGAAUCACUGGGCGUAAAGGGUGCGUAGGCGGGUCUUUAAGUCAGGGGUGAAAUCCUGGAGCUCAACUCCAGAACUGCCUUUGAUACUGAGGAUCUUGAGUUCGGGAGAGGUGAGUGGAACUGCGAGUGUAGAGGUGAAAUUCGUAGAUAUUCGCAAGAACACCAGUGGCGAAGGCGGCUUCCUGGCCUGUUCUUGACGCUGAGGCGCGAAAGCUAGGGGAGCGAACGGG
rnacentral:rRNA from 1 species